rnacentral:rRNA from 1 species
CCUACGGGAGGCAGCAGUGGGGAAUAUUGCGCAAUGGGCGAAAGCCUGACGCAGCGACGCCGCGUGAGGGAUGAAGGUCUUCGGAUCGUAAACCUCUGUCAGCAGGGAAGUACGGUCACUGUGCUAAUCAGCAGUGAAUUGACGGUACCUGCAAAGGAAGCACCGGCUAACUCCGUGCCAGCAGCCGCGGUAAUACGGAGGGUGCGAGCGGUAAUCGGAAUUACUGGGCGUAAGGCGCUCGUAGGCGGUAUGUCAAGUCAAGGGUGAAAUCCCCUCGCUCAACGUGGGAAUUGCCGUUGAAACUGGCAGACUGGAGUGUGUGAGAGGAUAGUGGAAUUCCAGGUGUAGGAGUGAAAUCCGUAGAUAUCUGGAGGAACAUCAGUGGCGAAGGCGACUAUCUGGCACAUAACUGACGCUGAGGAGCGAAAGCGUGGGUAGCAAACAGGAUUAGAUACCCUUGUAGUC